CCCUUAGAUGUUCUGGGCUGCACGCGCGCUACACUGAAGCGUUCAACGAGUAUUCACCUUGCCCGGGAGGGUUGGGUAAUCUUUUCAAAACGCUUCGUGAUGGGGAUAGAUUAUUGCAAUUAUUAAUCUUCAACGAGGAAUUCCUAGUAAGCGCGAGUCAUCAGCUCGUGCUGAUUACGUCCCUGCCCUUUGUACACACCGCCCGUCGCUCCUACCGAUUGAGUGCUCAGGUGAAUAAUUCGGACUGCAGCAAUGUUUGGAUCCCGAACGUUGCAGCGGAAAGUUUAGUGAACCUUAUCACUUAGAGGAAGGAGAAGUCGUAACA
rnacentral:rRNA from 1 species